rnacentral:rRNA from 1 species
AGUAAAAGUCGUAACAAGGUUUCCGUAGGUGAACCUGCGGAAGGAUCAUUAUUGGUUUGGGCCUCUUGAGCUGGCAUGCAGGUGCUCGGAGGCCGGCUUACUACACCCCUGUGCACUUUGAAACGUAAGUCUGGGUUGAGGUCGCUGUAUGCGCGGCGCCUCGCUUAGCCUCGUUUUAUUACAAACACAUAUCAUUGUCUUGUAGAAUGCAUUGCUCGUCAUGAGCUAAAGUUUAAUACAACUUUCAACAACGGAUCUCUUGGCUCUCGCAUCGAUGAAGAACGCAGCGAAAUGCGAUAGGUAAUGUGAAUUGCAGAAUUCAGUGAAUCAUCGAAUCUUUGAACGCACCUUGCGCUCCUUGGUAUUCCGAGGAGCAUGCCUGUUUGAGUGUCAUGUUAUUCUCAAUCCCUUCUGUUUCUGUGACAGUCGGGCUUGGAUUUGGAGGCUUUUGCUGGUUUUGCAGUCGGCUCCUCUUGAAUGCAUUAGCUGGGCUUGUGCUCGAUGCAACGGUGUAAUAAUUCCUUUUCACCGAUGUAACUUGCAAUUGAAAGUCCGCUUCUAAUCGUCUCUUAUGAGACAUUAUAAGGAGAAUUCCUUUGACACUUUUGACCUCAAAUCAGGUAGGACUACCCGCUGAACUUAAGCAUAUCAAUA